AUCUAAAACCUACUUAAAUAAAAACGUAUUUUCAAAUGUAAGGAAAAUAGGGUAAUGCUGCAUAGUAUAAUCAUUAUUAGCAAAAAGUGCUCAUACAAAAUGUUGUUACAAACUGACAGUCUGAAUUUAAGGAAAUCUUGCUUCGAAUGUUAAGAUGCUAAUAUUUUUAACAAUAUUGACGUUGACGUGCAAUUUAUCUAGUAUAUCAGCCAACGGCUACCAUCCGAAAAGAGGCCCUUAUAUAGGAAAUUUUGGUUCCCUACACUACUGGCUGAGUGCCCCUCACAAGAAACAUGACACGGUACUAAGAAAACCGUCAAUACACAUAUAUUUACUAAAGCCAAACCACAAUCGAUUCCGUAGAUCUAGCAAUUACGAUGACUAUGUUGGUCAACUGGAAAAAGAUUUAGAUGAUGCAAUAAGUAAUUAUAAUAUUAUGUUGAAAAAUAUGCAAUCCAAUGUGGAUUCAAAAGAAAAAAUUAUAAAUAAAAAAAUGGAUUUUUAUAGCAGAAUUGUGUCCGAAGGGAUAGACAAUGCGAGGAGGAGAAAUUCGAAAAGUUUUAAGAAGUUGAAGAAACGGUACAAGAAUGUGAUGAAAAGAUACAAAAGAUACUAAAUUUAAAUGAAACACAUGUCAAUUUAUUUCAAACUAACCUAAAAAUAAGUAAAGUUGUAGUAUGAUUAUGACUGCUCUUCUAUUUUCUCUCUAUACCAAAUCAUGUCAAAUCAAUAUAGAUUUUGUUGCAAUUUGGUAGUAUAGCAUAUGUAUUCUCUCUUUCUUAUGGUAUGUACCUAAUAGUUAAUAGUAACGAUUGGGCUGACUUGAUUGCAGCUUCCGAUGAAGCCGUCGAAGUGUCUCGGUUCUGGCAAGAAUAUAAUUUAGCACCCGAUUAAAGCGUUGUAGAUUUGCCAUGGACACGCAAAAGAAAAAGAGUACUUAUUAUUAGUGAAUUUCAAUGAAGUUGCAACACUCACCAAACUUAUUUCGUACCGUUUGAAACAACGGAAAUUAUAUCCCGACUACAAAUUCAGACAUUUUGCUCAGCAUCGAAUCGUGUUAAUACAAAAAAUGGUCCAAUUCUGAUCCUUUUACGCAGCCGUCCGUCGUCGGCAAAAAGGAUCGGAAAUAGAUAUUAUUUAACUUCGUCUCAUGUCUAACCUUUUUGUUUAACUUCGUGAUACGGGAUAUAAGAUUUUUUUCCGUAGUAAUGAUUUGAAAGAUGUCAUCCACAAGAAGACAAGAAGACGAAUGUUAUAUUCAUGGUAUUAGUAGGCACUCCUUACGAAGUACUUAUUAAAUCCAUGGUUAUAUCACCCACUACAGUGCAUAGAUAUACUAAUAAGCUUCAUAAUUCCAUAAUGUUUUAUUUUAUUGAAAAUGAACAAUUGUUUUUUUUGCUGCAACAUAUGAUAAGAACAUUUUUACAAUAUCUGUACUUGAAUACAUAUACUGCGGAGAGUUUAAAAUCUAGAAAUACGUGAUGACUUACUCACUAGGCAAGCCCGUAUCGAGGAAGCCUGCAUUACUAAUAAAAUAUUAUAAUCAAAUGCCUAUGUUUAAACUA